AUUGUACGCUGGCGGCACGCCUAACACAUGCAAGUCGAGCGGCAGCGAGAGUAGUAGCAAUACUACUUGUCGGCGAGCGGCGGACGGGUGAGGAACACGUAGGAAUCUACCCAGAAGAGGGGGAUAACCAAGGGAAACUUUGGCUAAUACCGCAUAAUCUCGAGAGAGAAAAGCUGCCCGCAAGGGUGGCGCUUUUGGAGGAGCCUGCGUCCGAUUAGCUAGUUGGUAGGGUAAAGGCCUACCAAGGCGAUGAUCGGUAACUGGUCUGAGAGGACGACCAGUCACACUGGGACUGAGACACGGCCCAGACUCCUACGGGAGGCAGCAGUGGGGAAUAUUGGACAAUGGGGGCAACCCUGAUCCAGCGAUGCCGCGUGAGUGAAGAAGGCCUUCGGGUCGUAAAGCUCUUUAGGUUGGGAAGAAGGUUGUAGGGGUAAUAUCCUUGCAAUUUGACGGUACCGACAGAAUAAGCACCGGCAAACUCUGUGCCAGCAGCCGCAGUAA
rnacentral:rRNA from 1 species